CUUUUCAACUGUAUCUACCAUGUCGUUCUUUGAACUCACCGUGUUUUUUGUAUAGAUAUUUGCGAAGUUAUUGAUUAUCAUCCGCUGAUUGUUUUUUCAAAAUAUUGUGGACCUUGCCCUUUGUUUGCCUGUUUUGACUACUUCAGUUGACAUGGAAAAGACAAAAGUAAAUGAGGCUAAAAUUAUAUCCAGAUGUUCAGUUACUUACAUGGGGAACAGGAAGGCAACUAUGCUGUAAGCAGGCACAGUCUACUACAUCAUGACCAACACUGGUAAAUAGGUUUACUAGAAUGCAAAGGUAGCGAAAAAUUGGUGACUGGACAAUUGGCACUAUUCAAUGGACAUAGGAAGGACUGAAGUUGACUUUGGGGGGAGGGAUUAUUAAUACGUCUUUUCACGAACUACAUUUGGUAGACGUAGUGUUGGUUUAUGUUUAAUUUAUGCUAACCUUAGGUCGCCUAGUUAUGGUACUACUCGUUACAUAAACUGAGUUUACAGAAAGUGGUCAUGCAUCUGGUUAAAUUGGAAUUGUCAAAGUGGGUCUGACAUGUAGAAAGUUAAUUUUGUUACCAUUGUCUACUCACAGUUAUUAUUCUAGUUUCUUUGCUAAUUCGUGGCUGUAUUUUAUGGUUACUCAUCUUUUCAACCCUUUGGUGGUUGAAUAUCUCAGUGACGAGCAAGAGGAAGAUAAUGGAGGAGAAGAUGAACCUUUUCCUAGGAAAAAAAAGUAGGCAAAGAGUUAAGAGGAAUAGAUAUUACGUCAUAUGAGGUUUUGUGAAAAUCUCUGUUUUCAGGAUAUGGUGAUUAUCUAUCAUUCUGCGUAUGACCGUGCUCGAUUUUUUUUUGAGAAUGGUAACAGAUAAUCUUAUCAAAAUAUGUAGUCCCCCUUCAAAAGUAUUACAACUUACACAGCUUGAACAUCUACCUGUUGUUCCUAGAAUAGUCUAAAACGGCUAAAAUAUCUUCUGUUUGAUCUAUUAAUUUCUAUUUACACCAAAAAAAAAAACAGAGCUAAACAAUUCAUUUUGAACUCCUGGAAGUUACUCUGCUUGUCUUCAAAACAUCUCCUAUUCCCUUUUUUCCACACUAUCCACGAAAUGAAUGCAGGGACAAUCUUCCAUCUAAACAGAGCUUGACUUCUGUUCCUUCCUUCUUGCUUUAGCGUUCUUGGAAGUGUAAUGUGUACUGUCUAUUAGUUUUUGUGAUAAACUUGACCACAAAUUAUAUGAAUAAUUUGCACGUCUUAAUAAAAAGUAGUAACAGAAGAACUAACCAUGUGAAGUAUUUUAUUUUGGUGGUGUGCUGCAGUAUUUUAUUUUCAGCAAUUUUCCUGAUAUUAGCUUAAAGUAAAACCUUUUAAGAUGUUCUUCUCCUGCUUGGUUGUUGCAUGCAUUUUUCCUCAAGCUGUUUCGACCUCUUAUCUUUUUUUGGUAUCACCUUUUUUGGGGGAAAAGGUGUAAGAGCUUUAGAUGUUUCUGGCGGAGCCGAUGCAUAGAAGUCAUAUGGACCAUGUGGGAAGUAAGGAACUCUAGAUAUUGAAGGCAAACAACAUUUAAGAUUUCACAGUCCACUCUACUUAUGUUUUCAUUUUAUCUUUUUUACAUCUUUAAACCUAUUUUUAUUUCAUAAGUUGUAUGGUCCAUGGAAGACUUCAAGAAAAUGCCAUUAGGUGAUACGAAUGUUUCGUUAUAUGAUAAUAAAAUACCUUACUUAGAGUAGAAAGGGAGACCGUGUGAUGCUCUCAAAACAUAAUUUACUUUGUAGAAGGAAAAAAAAACCCAUUUCUAUGCUCAUCAAGUGCUUGACCUGCAUAUCUGGUGAAGCUAGAAGUGUGCUGUUUGUUAUUUCGUAUAGUUUUGCCUGGAGUCUAGCUUAUGAGCUCAAAAUGCAAGCUGAAUACUGUGUUGCUAAGAUAACACACACGGAAAACUGUACUAGGGAAAA